ACCACAUCUUUCACGUGAAUCAAGCUGAUCUCGGUGUGGACGGAUUUAUUUCAGGGGGUCUCUGUCCUCCGGCAGCAGUGCGCGCCGCCGCGGCAGGGGGCUCCGCCGCUGUGCACCGUGAACGCGCCUUUCCAUGCGGGUUGAAUAAAGAAGAACAGAAAAAAAAAAAAAAAUCAGCUGGUGUUGAAAAGACAUGCAGCCGUGGCCGGGGCGGAGAGCAGAGACCGGUUUUAUUGUCUCGUCGGAAGCCGGUCGCCGGUCCGCAGGCUCAGGUUCUCCUCUCUGCUGCUCCACGCUUUGUCAGCCGCUUCCCGCACGGACCCGGGUGGGUUUGUGGGUUUUCCCUGAAUGAAGCAGCUCCUCCACCGGAGGAGGAGGCGGAGGACUCGUUAGUUUUAAAACGCUAGCGAAGCGGCAGCGUUUUUAUUGUAGUUUUUACUCUUAUUAUUAAUGUUGUGGAGUCAGCGCUGUUUUUUAUCUUUUAAUUAUUUCGUGUUGGACUGAUUCAGCUUUUGUUUGGAGGAAAGAGACUGGCGGAGGAAUCAGAUCUUUAAUUACAUCUUCAUCAGCAGGUUAAUGACAAUUCUUCUUCACGGGUCUGUGCUUGGAUUAUCCCACCUCAACACAGUGGAUUUUUUUUAAUACAUAUUACUAUUAAUUAUUUAUUAUUUUUUAUUGUUACUCUACGUUGCGUCCUGCGUCCUCGGGUCUAUUGUUUGGAUUUGAUCCACCAGCGCCGGACUCUCCCCUAGACUGUCCCGGUCCGGUCCAGUGUUGUCCCGGGUUGAGCAGCACCAUGCCAGAGUGUGUAUCGGUGUGUGAGUUCGUGCAGGAGGUGCAGGACGACUGGAGCUCUCCGACCACCUCCUCAUUCACCUCCAAGAUGAUGAGCUGCAGAAACACCGUCUACCUGCUGGAGGAGGCUCUGGACAGUGACAGGUUGGUGCUGCAGAAGAUGAAGAAAGCUGCAAAAGCCAAAUACGCAGCAGGCCAAGACCACGUCUCUUACCUGGAGCAGUAUAUUAACUCCAUGGAGAAGCUGUCGGUCAACUGUCACUCAAACGGAGAGACGGAGGUUGGCUCCGCCUUCUGUCGCCUGGCGGACUUUUCCAAAGAGCUCGUCUCUCCCAUGAAGAACCUGUUGAAGAGCAUGCUCCACAACAUCAACUUCUUCUUGGACUCUCUGGUUAAAGGAGAUCUGAGGGAGGUGAAGGGGGACCUGAAGAAGCCUUUUGAAAGAACGUGGAGGGAUUACGAGAGCAGAUUUAAGCAGGUGGAGAAGGAGAAGAGGGAGUUGGCUCGUCAGUACGGGAUGGUGAGGACCGAGGUGAGCGGAGGAGAGAUCGCAGAGGAGCUUGAGAAGGAGAGGCGCUCUUUCCAACUGAGCAUGUGCGAGUAUCUGAUCAAGGUCAACGAGAUAAAGACGAAGAGAGGAGUCGACCUGCUGCAGAACCUCAUCAAACACUACCACAGCCACAACAAUUUCCUGCAGGAGUGUGUCUCCACCACUCAGAGGCUGACGCAGUACAUGGAGGAGCUGAACGGAGUCUUGACCACGGUGAAGCAGCGUCAGGAGGAGGAGAAGAGACAGCUGUGCACCCUCAGAGAUCAGCUGAGACCGGUCGUACACACAGAGCAGGAAUCUGUACCUAAGCAGGUGUACAGCAUGCAUCAGCUGCUGGGAGACAAACAGUACGGGACAGAGAGAACGGGAUUCCUCUACAAGAAGAGUGACGGAUUGAGGAAAAUGUGGCAGAAGAGGAAAUGUUCCGUCCACAACUGUUAUCUGACCAUCGCACACGCUACUCCUAAUAAACCUCCGACCAGGCUCAACCUGCUCACAUGUCAGGUCAAACCCAGCGUGGAGGACAAGAAAUGCUUCGACCUAAUCUCUCAUAACCGAACUUAUCACUUCCUGGCUGAGGAUGAAGCUGAGUGUGUGGCCUGGAUCUCGGUGCUCAGUAACAGUAAACAGGAAGCCCUGAGCAUGGCUUUGGAUGGAGGACAGAGAGGGGGAGGUGGAGCUGAGAGCAGCGUGGAGGAUCUGACCCGGGCCAUCACUGACGACAUCCGGAGGAUGCCGGGAAACAACAACUGCUGUGACUGCGGUGCCCCAGAUCCUGGUUGGCUCUCAACAAACCUUGGCAUCCUGACUUGUAUCGAGUGUUCAGGGAUUCACAGGGAGAUGGGGGUCCACGUCUCCAGGAUCCAGUCUCUGAGCCUGGACAGUCUGGGGACCUCAGACUUACUGCUGGCCAGGAAUGUUGGCAACUCUGGUUUCAAUGAAAUACUGGAGGCGAACCUGCUGAGUCCAUCACUAAAGCCCUCCCAACACAGUCACAUGGUGGAGCGUAAAGACUUCAUCAUGUCAAAGUAUCAGGAUGUUCACUUUGUGAGGCGGGGCCACAACUCCGCUGCAACACUGAGACUCAGCCUGCAGGAGGCGACCAAGAGCUGUGACAUCUACAGUCUGAUCCAGCUGUACGCUCAGAGGGCAGAACUGAGCCAACCGCUACACUCACACAUACAGGAGAAAGGGGAGACGGCGCUCCACUUAGCCGUCCUGUUGGCCGAUAGGACAUCACUGCACAUUCUGGACUUCCUGGCUCAGAACUGUUCCAAUGUGGACGCGCAGACAUCAGCAGGAAACACGGCGCUGCACUACAGCUGUCUGCACAACAAGAGUGAUUGUGUGAAGCUGCUGCUGAGGGCCAGAGCCAACACACACAUUAAGAAUGAGUUAGGAGAAACCGCCCUGGACAUGAGCCGCAGGCUGAAGCACAGCCACUGUGAGGCGCUGCUGCAACAGGCCCAGUCCAACCAGUUUGACCAUCACGUCCACGUGGAGUACGAGUGGAGGCUUCGUCAUGACGACAUGUACGACAGCGAUGACGACUUUGAUGACAAGAACGGCCCAGUGAAGAAGGAGCGCUCAUCUUCCUCCUCAUCCUCCUCCUUCACCCCUUCCUUCUCCUUCUCCUCCCGCCCCUUCAGCUUCAGUCAGUCCCUGUCCUCCUCAAACCACAUGUCCUCCCCCGGGGCACCAGCAGGAGGCGGUGGAGGUCUCCUGAGCGUGGGUCGGAGGCUCGCCAUGGCCAUGGAGCUCCACAGUCGCCCCUCUGGCUCCGUCCCCAGCCCUCCUCCUCCUCCGCCAUCCUCCCCUGCUCCCCCGCUGCCUCCCAGGGUCAAAGCUCCCAAUGUUCCUCCUCCCCCUCCUCCCUCUGGAGGAGACGGAGUGGGUGAGGAAGAGGAGGACGAAGGGGAGGUCUUCUUCUCUUUGACAGGAAACAGAAAGAUGACUCCCCCUCCCAUCGCCGUCCGACACAAGAGGAGUUGCUCUGAGUCCAGCAAGCACGAUUACGGGUUGCCAACCAGUCCCAGGAUCUACAGCGGCCCAGACUCCUCCUUCAAGAAGUGUGUUCCAGCUUCACCUCUCAGCUCCCUGACUGAACGACCAGACAGAGGUUUUCGGAGGGCGGAAAGUGACGGUAGCUCCUCCCACUUCCUGUAUCCUGCCAGUAAAGCUCCGCCCAAUGGGUCCCCCACCAAUCCACGCUCUCAGAGCUUUGAGUGCGACAGCAGAGGCCCCGCCCCUCAGCCGCUCCCUCGGCGAUCGUUGCCUCGGGGAACAACCAGCCGUCGGGUCCAGGCUCUGUACGACUGCCAGGCCGACCACCACGACGAGUUGAACUUCUCUGAGGGUCAGGUCCUGGUGGUCCUGGGGCAGGAGGACAGUGAUUGGUGGCACGGUUACAUCGAGGAUGAACCGGACCAGAGAGGUUUGUUUCCGUCCUCCUUUGUCCAGCUGCUGUCAGACUGACGUUGAACCGGGACGACCUGGAGUCAGACAUCAGCCCACGUCCAGAUCGCAUCAGAACCAGGAGCUCAGGAGAACCGGGGCUACUCCGCCACACGCCGCCCAGAAUGAGACGCAGGAGCACGUCCAGCCUCCUUCGAGUCCUCGCGAUCGCCACAGCAACUGGUGUUCCUCAUGCCUUGUUACCGUGGAAACGUCACAGGAUGACCUUUCAGUGAAGACUCUGGACCUUUUUAUUUUUUAUGUGGGGGUCAGGUCGGGAUAACGUUGCCUCACGCUGACUCCCAAGAGCCAACUCGAGGCUCGCCAACAUAAAAGCACACAGAACAACAGCAGGUGUUGGCUUUUAUUUUGAAGUUAAUCUGAACUGCUCUUUUCCGGUUUAUUUAUUUUAAUUUAUUUAAUGUUGUUGAUUCCGUGGCGAAACCACGCGAGCCACUGCCGCCGUAUGUCAGGCUUUUCUUCCUUGUAGGUGCAACGGACCAGGGUUUCAUAAAAGCACAAAGGAUUCUGGGAUACCGCAGACCAAAGCUGUAGACGAAGGUGAAGAUCAGCGUCUGCCGACGGAGACCGGACUUCAGAUUAUUACAGGACUCUAAUCAUGCACUUCCUGAUGUCCCAAGAGAUCACAACACCUCAAGCCAUAUAUUAGAGACUACUGCCACCUGCUGGUAUGAAGAGUUAUUUCAUCCGGUGCCAAACAUUUGUUCCGGCUGCUUGUUGACUCUCCUCUUUGUGGUGUGUCCAAGACACUAGCAACCCCACAGUUCUUUGAUGUUGGUAAAUCUGUAACUUAAUGUCCAAACCACAAUAAAUUCUCCAUUAGACUUAACUGCGCCACUGUGGUUUCUAUAACCAAGUUUUCACAGAUUGAUCUGGACUCUAGCGUCUCAGCAGUGAAUGUCAGACAAACAUCAGAACAACGACUGUUGCCACCUGAAUGAAGGUGGACGUUAUUAAGUCAGCCUCAGCAGCUGUGAUGUAUUUGAGCCAUUUUCUGUGCUCACCAGCUGAUGUGUUAAGUGGAUUUAUGCAAAGCCACUCAGUCAGUGAAUGCAUCUUUUCAGAGAAUAUCAGCUGAUUCCAGGGAAGCGCCACACUGACGUUAAGCUUUGAACUUGGCUAAACGCAACGCUGAAGCUGAAAAAUACUUUGGUAAGAAGUACAACUUUGUUCAAGUGAGGAGAGUAAAUAACAUCCAACGCGUUUCAGUCGUCACAAAGACAGUAAAUGUCGUUAAAACAACAAACAACCAGAGCAGCAGACUAUAAGUAACUAGCUGUCUGAUUAAUUCUGAUACACGCACUUGUUUGUUUUUGUCUUUAAAAAGAUCUGGUAUAAAAUAAACUUGGAAAAAAUCUUGUUAUAAUGAGCUGAUGUAUUUUUGAUUAAUGUCUUAAGUAGAAACAUUCUGUCAUCUGGGUUCGACAAAACAAAUGAUACAAAAGUCUUGAAUUCAUUUUCAGAUUUGUUUUUAUUUCACUCACAGUGACAGCAGUGGGUUUACGCUGGUUCAGUUGAAAUGUCACAGUCUGUCUGGUGUCUAUAAAAGAAAGAUAAUCAA